AUUGAACGCUGGCGGCAGGCCUAACACAUGCAAGUCGAGCGGAUGAAGGGAGCUUGCUCCUGGAUUCAGCGGCGGACGGGUGAGUAAUGCCUAGGAAUCUGCCUGGUAGUGGGGGAUAACGUCCGGAAACGGGCGCUAAUACCGCAUACGUCCUGAGGGAGAAAGUGGGGGAUCUUCGGACCUCACGCUAUCAGAUGAUCCUAGGUCGGAUUAGCUAGUUGGUGGGGUAAAGGACUACCAAGGCGACGAUCCGUAACUGGUCUGAGAGGAUGAUCAGUCACACUGGAACUGAGACACGGUCCAGACUCCUAUGGGAGGCAGCAGUGGGGAAUAUUGGACAAUGGGCGAAAGCCUGGUCCAGCCAUGCCGCGUGUGUGAAGAAGGUCUUCGGCUUGUAAAGCACUUUAAGUUGGGAGGAAGGGCAGUAAGUUAAUACCUUGCUGUUUUGACGUUACCAACAGAAUAAGCACCGGCUAACUUCGUG
rnacentral:rRNA from 1 species